GCGAGUGAAGCGGCAACAGCUCAAUUUGAAAUCUGGCCUUUACGGUCCGAGUUGUAAUUUGGAGAGGAUGUUUUGGGUACCGCCACGGUUUAAAUUUCUUGGAACAGAAUGUCAAAGAGGGUGAGAGUCCCGUCUUGGACCGCGGUAGGGCCUGUGUAAAACUCCUUCGAAGAGUCGACUUGUUUGGGAAUGCAGGUCAAAAUGGGUGGUAAAUUUCAUCUAAAGCUAAAUAUUGGCCAGAGACCGAUAGCGCACAAGUAGAGUGAUCGAAAGAUGAAAAGCACUUUGAAAAGAGAGUUAAACAGUAUGUGAAAUUGUUGAAAGGGAAGCGCUGGCAACCAGACUCGUGCGCGGGGUUCCCCCUUGCUUCUGCUUGGGUCACUUCCCCGUGUCCGGGCCAUCAUCAGUUUCGGGGGCCGGUUAAAGGCCCUGGGAAUGUACCCACGCCUUCGGGGGUGGACUUAUAGCCCAGGGUGUCAUGCGGCCACCCGGGACUGAGGAACGCGCUUCGGCGAGGAUGAUGGCGUAAUGGUUGUCAGCGGCCCGUCUU
rnacentral:rRNA from 1 species